GGGGGGUUGCCUCGGGUUUGGAAUUCCUGGCCCGCCCAAGGUUGAAUUCCUGCCCGCAAUAGUUUGAUUCCUGGCCUGCGAUGAUUUUUUCUGGCUGCGUAGAUAACUACGUGAAAAUGUAGCUAAGGGAAGGCAGAAUAAGACGCAGGACUAUCAGUUAGUUGGUAGUGUAAUGGACUACCAAGACAGUGACGGUUGACGGGAAAUUAGGGUUUUGUACCGGAGAGGGAGCCUGAGAGAUUGCUCCCACGUCCAAGGACGGCAGCAGGCGCGAAAAUUGCCCACUCUUUGCAGGAGGCAGUUAUGAGACGUGAAGAUGAGUAUCUUGUAAAGAGGGAUAGGAGAAUUGGAGGGCAAGUUUGGUGCCAGCAGCCGCGGUAAUACCGACUCCAAGAGUGUGUAUGAGAGAUGCUGCAGUUAAAAAGUCCGUAGUCAUAGAAGGGCAAAGAGAGAUGCGAGGUCUCACAGUGCGAUGAUGGAGGAGCCGAUGGGGAACAUACUAUACCAGGGCGAGAGAUGAAAUGCCAAGACCCCUGGUGGACUGAGCGAGGCGAACGCGAUGUUCUUGUAGGCAUUCGGUGAUCAAGGACGAAGGCUGGAGUAUCGAAAGUGAUUAGAUACCGCAGUAGUUCCAGCAGUAAAAGAUGCCGACAUGCUCAUUGGACACAGGGGCAGGGAGAAAUCUUAGAGUUUCGGGCUCUGGGGGAUAGUAUGCUCGCAGGGAGGAGAGUAAAAGAAAUGGCGGGACUACGCCGCAUGGAGGGGG
rnacentral:rRNA from 1 species